CUCUAAGGAGACUGCCGGUGACAAACCGGAGGAAGGUGGGGACGACGUCAAGUCAUCAUGGCCCUUACGACCUGGGCUACACACGUGCUACAAUGGGCGGUACAAAGGGUUGCCAAGCCGCAAGGUGGAGCUAAUCCCAUAAAACCGUUCGUAGUCCGGAUUGGAGUCUGCAACUCGACUCCAUGAAGUCGGAAUCGCUAGUAAUCGUGAAUCAGAAUGUCACGGUGAAUACGUUCCCGGGCCUU
rnacentral:rRNA from 1 species